rnacentral:tRNA from 2 species
GGAGGGUUGACAGAGCGGCCGAAUGUGACGGUCUUGAAAACCGUUGUGGGGCGACCCACCAAGGGUUCGAAUCCCUUACCCUCCGCCA